CCAUUUAUUUGCAACAAACUUUACGUUUUACUUUACUCUUCUUCAUUCCAAAACCCUAAUGUCGAUCACAUGAUAUUUCCCGCAUCUGAUCUUCGCUUAACAUAUUGUUUGAUAUGCCUUCUCUCCGAUUUUAACCAUACGUUAUUGCCCAAAACCAAAGAUGAAAGAUUGAGGGUUUGAUUGAUCUCUCUUGUUCAAUACGUAUUUAUUUCUCGAAUUUUUUAGGUUUUAAAUUAACAUAAAUAGGUAUAUGGAUUGGUAUCUAAUCUCACACAUAAGCAUUAGUUAUUAAUUUGCUGCAUUGUUUGAUAUCUUAAUUUUGUGAAUUAAUUAUACAUGGAGCCUGCAUUGGCUGAUAGGGAUCAGAAGUUUAAUUAUGUCGAUUGUAGAACAGGUAAGGUGUGGUUGAAAGAUUAAUAUGGUGGAUAAAAGAAAGGAUAAAAAAAGGAGGUUGUGACUAGAGAAUACACCAUUCACCUCCACAAAAGCCUCCCAUGGAUGCACAUUCAAGAAGAAUGCACCCAAGGUAAUGAAGGAGAUCAAGAAGAUUGCACAAAAACUCAAAAGCUAUGGGUACAAUAAAUGUGAGAGUGGAUGUGAGACUUGAGAAGCACGUAACAAUGGUCGUCGGGUACUACAUCUCCCUUGCAUGCUUUCUCUUCCGUGUAUAUACAUAGAAUUGUGUUUAUUGGAAAUUAGAUUUCUUUUGUGGGUUAUUGUCACAAGUUUUGAUUGUUUCUUAUAUGCACAAAUACAUAUUUAUAUUUUUA